CUAGUGCACUAGGUUGGGAAUAUGGUGUCAUUUGGGACAUCUCUUUCCCUCAAGUCUGUACACAUUUACCAACUUCAUCUUCUCCAUCCCUCUCUCCACAGUCUGAGGGGAAAGUACUGUAAUACCCUGUGUAUAUAGCCUCCAAAGAGGGCUUAAAAACCUAACUUCUCUCCUCCCAUCUACCACUAGUGUUAAACAGAACAGGGCUCUCUAGCGCCCCUUGUGGCUGUAAGGCCGAGUGCAGCUCUGUACGGUAUACAGCAGCAGAGCCGAUAGGCUAGCUCUCAGCGGAGAGGGAGGGGUCUGAGUGUUGUCUUGACCAUCCCAGAAGGGUAAUAUGCAGUAAUGUUUCUAGAUAACUCUUUACACACCUUAAUGCAGCCUCGUUCUAAUGAAUCCUCUUUCCUUUCUGGCAAACUGUAAUUGAGCAUUAAGGAGGGAGGGGGGGCGGGGAGGGGGUGGUAUAUGACCAAUAUACCACGGCUCAGGGCUGUUCUUAGGCACGAUGUAUCGCAGAGUAUACAGCCCUUAGCUGUGGUAUAUUGGCCAUAUAUCACAACCCCCCAAGGUGCCUUAUUGCUGUUAUAAACUGGUUAUAAAUAUAACAGUAAAAUACAUGUACGGUCUGAUACCAGGGCUUUCAGGGCUCGACCACCUGGUUUCUAAUCCUCCUUUCUCUAAGUGAUGUUGAUGGAGCGUUAGGUUCCAGCUGAAGCAUGGUGACUGUCGGGGUUCGUCCCGUUCACUAUCUAGGGAACCGGGUGCCAUCUGAGACCGUCCUGGGUAUAGAACGAGGUUUGUUUUGAGUUUGUCGUGUUCUCUGCACGGCCAGGCGACGCUGAACUAUCAGUCGCUGUGUGUUGUUUUUCAAAUGAAGAUAAACGUAGAUUUAUUUUCAGAUCUUUUGUUUCUUGGUUGGUCUCUUUUCAUUCCAGCUGCUAACAAUGUCAUUUUCAUCUCUUUCCACAUUCCGUGUGUUUUCAUGGUUCCACAGUCCGUGUGGUUCCACAGUCCGUGUGGUUCCACAUUCCGUGUGGUUCCACAUUCCGUGUGGUUCCACCUGCUUGAUCAUGAACCUCUCCAUAGCGCUGUUAGACACCAUGCCAGCUCCAGGAGGAGCCGGACGGUUCCUGAUUAACGUCUGCUUGUUGCUGGUCAUAGCCUUAAUUAGCAGUGAAACUGAUGCAGGGUAUUUACAGUCAAUGGACCUGAGUUGUAUGUAUUAA
rnacentral:lncRNA from 13 species